UCGGACGAAAGCUGAGCUAAUACCGUAUGUGUCCGUUCGGGAAGAAAGAUUUAUCGCCAAAGGAUGUGCCCGCGUCGGAUUAGCUAGUUGGUGGGGUAACGGCCCACCAAGGCGACGAUCCGUAGCUGGUCUGAGAGGAUGAUCAGCCACACUGGGACUGAGACACGGCCCAGACUCCUACGGGAGGCAGCAGGUGGGAAUAUUGGACAAUGGGGCAACCCUGAUCCAGCCAUGCCGCGUGAGUGAUGAAGGCCUUAGGGUUGUAAAGCUCUUUCGCCCGCGAAGAUAAUGACUGUAGCGGGAGAAGAAGCCCCGGCUAACUUCGUG
rnacentral:rRNA from 1 species